rnacentral:rRNA from 1 species
GUGGGGAAUAUUGGACAAUGGGCGAAAGCCUGAUCCAGCCAUGCCGCGUGAGUGAUGAAGGCCCUAGGGUUGUAAAGCUCUUUCAGUGGGGAAGAUAAUGACGGUACCCACAGAAGAAGCCCCGGCUAACUUCGUGCCAGCAGCCGCGGUAAUACGAAGGGGGCUAGCGUUGUUCGGAUUUACUGGGCGUAAAGCGCACGUAGGCGGAUUGUUAAGUCGAGGGUGAAAUCCCAGGGCUCAACCCUGGAACUGCCUUCGAUACUGGCAAUCUUGAGUCCGGAAGAGGUGAGUGGAACUCCUAGUGUAGAGGUGGAAUUCGUAGAUAUUAGGAAGAACACCAGUGGCGAAGGCGGCUCACUGGUCCGGUACUGACGCUGAGGUGCGAAAGCGUGGGGAGCAAACAGGAUUAGAUACCCGGGUAGUCC